UUAAGUUAUUAAGGGCGCACGGUGGAUGCCUUGGCACUAGAAGCCGAUGAAGGACGUUACUAACGACGAUAUGCUUUGGGGAGCUGUAAGUAAGCUUUGAUCCAGAGAUUUCCGAAUGGGGAAACCCAGCAUGAGUUAUGUCAUGUUAUCGAUAUGUGAAUACAUAGCAUAUCAGAAGGCACACCCGGAGAACUGAAACAUCUUAGUACCCGGAGGAAGAGAAAGAAAAUUCGAUUCCCUUAGUAGCGGCGAGCGAAACGGGAAGAGCCCAAACCAAAAAGCUUGCUUGUUGGGGUUGUAGGACACUCUGUACGGAGUUACAAAGGACGACAUUAGACGAAUCAUCUGGAAAGAUGAAUCAAAGAAGGUAAUAAUCCUGUAGUCGAAAAUGUUGUCUCUCUUGAGUGGAUCCUGAGUACGACGGAGCACGUGAAAUUCCGUCGGAAUCUGGGAGGACCAUCUCCUAAGGCUAAAUACUCUCUAGUGACCGAUAGUGAACCAGUACCGUGAGGGAAAGGUGAAAAGCACCCCGGAAGGGGAGUGAAAUAGAACCUGAAACCGUGUGCUUACAAGUAGUCAGAGCCCGUUAAUGGGUGAUGGCGUGCCUUUUGUAGAAUGAACCGGCGAGUUACGAUUUGAUGCAAGGUUAAGCAGUAAAUGUGGAGCCGUAGCGAAAGCGAGUCUGAAUAGGGCGUUUAGUAUUUGGUCGUAGACCCGAAACCAGGUGAUCUACCCUUGGUCAGGUUGAAGUUCAGGUAACACUGAAUGGAGGACCGAACCGACUUACGUUGAAAAGUGAGCGGAUGAACUGAGGGUAGCGGAGAAAUUCCAAUCGAACCUGGAGAUAGCUGGUUCUCUCCGAAAUAGCUUUAGGGCUAGCCUCAAGUGAUGAUUAUUGGAGGUAGAGCACUGUUUGGACGAGGGGCCCCUCUCGGGUUACCGAAUUCAGACAAACUCCGAAUGCCAAUUAAUUUAACUUGGGAGUCAGAACAUGGGUGAUAAGGUCCGUGUUCGAAAGGGAAACAGCCCAGACCACCAGCUAAGGUCCCAAAAUAUAUGUUAAGUGGAAAAGGAUGUGGCGUUGCCCAGACAACUAGGAUGUUGGCUUAGAAGCAGCCAUCAUUUAAAGAGUGCGUAAUAGCUCACUAGUCGAGUGACACUGCGCCGAAAAUGUACCGGGGCUAAACAUAUUACCGAAGCUGUGGAUUGUCCUUUGGACAAUGGUAGGAGAGCGUUCUAAGGGCGUUGAAGCAUGAUCGUAAGGACAUGUGGAGCGCUUAGAAGUGAGAAUGCCGGUGUGAGUAGCGAAAGACGGGUGAGAAUCCCGUCCACCGAUUGACUAAGGUUUCCAGAGGAAGGCUCGUCCGCUCUGGGUUAGUCGGGUCCUAAGCUGAGGCCGACAGGCGUAGGCGAUGGAUAACAGGUUGAUAUUCCUGUACCACCUAUAAUCGUUUUAAUCGAUGGGGGGACGCAGUAGGAUAGGCGAAGCGUGCGAUUGGAUUGCACGUCUAAGCAGUAAGGCUGAGUAUUAGGCAAAUCCGGUACUCGUUAAGGCUGAGCUGUGAUGGGGAGAAGACAUUGAGUCUUCGAGUCGUUGAUUUCACACUGCCGAGAAAAGCCUCUAGAUAGAAAAUAGGUGCCCGUACCGCAAACCGACACAGGUAGUCAAGAUGAGAAUUCUAAGGUGAGCGAGCGAACUCUCGUUAAGGAACUCGGCAAAAUGACCCCGUAACUUCGGGAGAAGGGGUGCUCUUUAGGGUUAACGCCCAGAAGAGCCGCAGUGAAUAGGCCCAAGCGACUGUUUAUCAAAAACACAGGUCUCUGCUAAACCGUAAGGUGAUGUAUAGGGGCUGACGCCUGCCCGGUGCUGGAAGGUUAAGAGGAGUGGUUAGCUUCUGCGAAGCUACGAAUCGAAGCCCCAGUAAACGGCGGCCGUAACUAUAACGGUCCUAAGGUAGCGAAAUUCCUUGUCGGGUAAGUUCCGACCCGCACGAAAGGCGUAACGAUUUGGGCACUGUCUCAACGAGAGACUCGGUGAAAUCAUAGUACCUGUGAAGAUGCAGGUUACCCGCGACAGGACGGAAAGACCCCGUGGAGCUUUACUGUAGCCUGAUAUUGAAAUUCGGCACAGCUUGUACAGGAUAGGUAGGAGCCUUUGAAACGUGAGCGCUAGCUUACGUGGAGGCGCUGGUGGGAUACUACCCUAGCUGUGUUGGCUUUCUAACCCGCACCACUUAUCGUGGUGGGAGACAGUGUCAAGCGGGCAGUUUGACUGGGGCGGUCGCCUCCUAAAAGGUAACGGAGGCGCUCAAAGGUUCCCUCAGAAUGGUUGGAAAUCAUUCAUAGAGUGUAAAGGCAUAAGGGAGCUUGACUGCGAGACCUACAAGUCGAGCAGGGUCGAAAGACGGACUUAGUGAUCCGGUGGUUCCGCAUGGAAGGGCCAUCGCUCAACGGAUAAAAGCUACCCCGGGGAUAACAGGCUUAUCUCCCCCAAGAGUUCACAUCGACGGGGAGGUUUGGCACCUCGAUGUCGGCUCAUCGCAUCCUGGGGCUGUAGUCGGUCCCAAGGGUUGGGCUGUUCGCCCAUUAAAGCGGUACGCGAGCUGGGUUCAGAACGUCGUGAGACAGUUCGGUCCCUAUCCGUCGUGGGCGUAGGAAAUUUGAGAGGAGCUGUCCUUAGUACGAGAGGACCGGGAUGGACAUACCUCUGGUGUACCAGUUGUCGUGCCAACGGCAUAGCUGGGUAGCUAUGUGUGGACGGGAUAAGUGCUGAAAGCAUCUAAGCAUGAAGCCCCCCUCAAGAUGAGAUUUCCCAACUUCGGUUAUAAGAUCCCUCAAAGAUGAUGAGGUUAAUAGGUUCGAGGUGGAAGCAUGGUGACAUGUGGAGCUGACGAAUACUAAUCGAUCGAAGACUUAAUCAA
rnacentral:rRNA from 3 species